rnacentral:rRNA from 1 species
AGAGCGAACGCUGGCGGCAGGCUUAACACAUGCAAGUCGAGCGGGCGUAGCAAUACGUCAGCGGCAGACGGGUGAGUAACGCGUGGGAACGUACCUUUUGGUUCGGAACAACACAGGGAAACUUGUGCUAAUACCGGAUAAGCCCUUACGGGGAAAGAUUUAUCGCCGAAAGAUCGGCCCGCGUCUGAUUAGCUAGUUGGUGAGGUAACGGCUCACCAAGGCGACGAUCAGUAGCUGGUCUGAGAGGAUGAUCAGCCACAUUGGGACUGAGACACGGCCCAAACUCCUACGGGAGGCAGCAGUGGGGAAUAUUGGACAAUGGGCGCAAGCCUGAUCCAGCCAUGCCGCGUGAGUGAUGAAAGGCCCUAGGGUUGUAAAGCUCUUUUGUGCGGGAAGAUAAUGAACGGUACCGCAAGAAUAAGCCCGGCUAACUUCGCGCCAGCAGCCGC